rnacentral:snoRNA from 1 species
AUUUGAUGAUGUGGACAUUUAUUUGUAACUCCCCAAAUCUUUCCCAAGCUUGGAAGAAUUCCUCCGUAUGCUUUUGUCUAAAAGUUUGGAUCUUGUUUCUUAAGUC